CUCCAGUGCCACAUAUUAGGUAGGAUUAGUUAGGACCGGCCCUAACCUAAAGCAAAUUAGGCCACUGGCUUGAGCCUCAUAUUUCAAAGGGCAUCAAAAAAUAAAAAAUAAAAAAAUGAAGAAGCCCAAAAAUCGCCAUAGUAAAAAACCCCUCAAAUCCCUUUAAAAAAAGAAAAAAGAAAAAUAGUACAUGCUGAUAAGAGUGUAAAGAGGCCGUGAAAAGUGAAAUCUAUUUCUCUAAUAAUCUUCACCAAAAAAGCUAUUAAUUCCAAAUUUUCCACACACAAUUGUUGCAUCUUGAUUCUGUUGAAGGUCUCCAAAAAUCUUAAAAAACUCAAGGUAAAAGUUAUACCAUUGUUUUGUAUUUUUUUUAAAUAUUUACUUAUAACAUGACAAGAUAUUUUGGUCUUGAAUCUUUGAUAUUUGAGUACUUUUGAUUUUGGGUUUAAAGAGUUUCAUUGGAAAGAAGUUGAAAAAUGUUAUAAUUGGCUUAUUAUCAAUUAGAACUUUCGAAAAUAAUGGAGUUUUGUUUGAAUAGAUUGGGUUUGAUUUUUUUUAAAUUUUUAUACCCCAUAAGAGAGUUUACAGAAAUAAUUUGGCGUCGAAUUUGAGUUAAAUUCGUGAAUUUUUUGUUUUUCAGCACUCAUUUUUUUAAUUAAUUCAAGUUUAACUCAUAUUUUUUUCUCAGUUCUCACCUCUGUUUAGCAUUUUUCAAGUGUUUGUAAAUGUUGAACUAUUUGUGGUUUUUGCUUCUUUAGUGUGGGUGAAGGUGCUAUAAUGAAGCAUAACUUUAAUAUUCAUGUAUAGGGAGCAGAAAUUUGCAUAUAUUCAGUUGUCUGCUUAGGCGAUGAUUGGCUUUGCUUUGGCCUCCUUUUCUUUGUACUUAGAGAAUGUUCAUCCAUUUGCUUGGUGUUAUCCUUGUUUUUAUUUGUUUACCGUUUCUUCAAGAACCAUGAUCUAUUCUUCAGUCUUCAUCAAAAUGGCACUGUAUUAUACUGAAAUAUUGAAGCUCCCUAAACCUAUUAAAACCACAUAAAAUAGAUAAUUCUUCCAACUUUAGAUUGACUAAUCUUUGGAGAAACUGUGCUAUCUAUAGACAUACCUUAAAUAUAGUUGUAACAGGGCUUCUUGUUUGGUAUUCUGAUACUGAAAGUAGCAGAGCCAAGGAGGAAAAAUUGGUAUAGAGAUCAAUAUCAUUGCAGUAGAAACCAAUAUAGAAGUAUCACUAUGCUUGUUAAAAGAUUAUGUUUAAGGGCCUCAUAAUAGUUAAAAUGCUUAGAGCCUCGAAGUUCUUAGGGCUGGCCCUGGCAUUGGUGGCCAUCGUCACAACAGUAGUGCCCUGGUGCUAUUACAAAUGCCACCCGAAAUGUGAUAUAACUAGAUGCUUAUUACAUUAAAAGGAAGAAUCGUGCACCAGACACUCUCCACAGUUUACACAAUCAAUUUCCAGUCUCUUCAGCUUAUUUUUCCAGUAGGCAAUUCGACACCGUUGUGGAUUACUCUAACCACCACCACCACCACUCGGAAGGCGAUUCAUCUCUAAAAUUGUGUAGAUAGUUUCACAGCAAAUUUCUGUGUCUAUCUUCUCAUAUCUUCAUCUAUCUAUGUAGAAUCCAUAAAGGAAACAUAACCUGUAAAGGUUAAAUUAUUGAUUUCGAUUAUGCAGUUGACCAAUCCCUGAUUUUAUUUUGGAGUUCUCAUUAUGAAGCCGGCCCGAGCUGAUUUCAUGAAGUUCCCUACGGCUGUUUCUUGAUACAUCCCCCAAAGUUUCAAGCAGGAAGCUCUAUCUAACUUUUCAUUGGGUUCCAGUUUGGAUCUGGGAGUGGCAUUCAGUUAUCCAAAAGUGAAUUUGCUGGAUUACAUAAUUCUAUUAAUGUAGAUGCUUUUGACUCCUUCCUCUUCUACAGAGAGGAUGAGUCUACAGAUAUGUAUUAUGAUGAUCUCAUUAAGGAAGAUUGUGCAAUUUUGCAAUUGCAUUUUGAUAAUUUGAAUAUUCCUCAUGUGAUAGAUGCUCUGCUUCUCUGGUUGUCAAGUUCUGCAGGAAUUAUUGGCUCCAUUUCAAUUCGAGUAUUGACUUAUCACAGUGACAAUAAUUAGGCUCCAUAAUUUAACAGAUUAUUAAAUUUUGUAGUCACAUUUUGAUCAAAUGGAUA
rnacentral:lncRNA from 1 species